AUCUACGGUCAUACCACCCUGAAUGUACUCGAUCUCAUCUGAUCUCAGAAGCUAAGUAGUGUCAGGCCUGGUUAGUACUUGGUUGGGAGAUUGGAAAAUACCCCUUCAUGGGAGUAUGUCAUUUUACAUU
rfam:Equus caballus chromosome 2, whole genome shotgun sequence.